UUUUUUUUUUUUUUUUUUUGCUAUUUUGGGGCCGCACCCUCAGUAUAUGGAGGUUCCCAGGAGAGGGGUUGAAUCAGAGCUAUAGCUGCAGCCUACACCACAGCCACACCAGAUCUGAGCCACAUCUGCAACCUACACCACAGCUCACGGCAACACUGGAUCCUUAACCCACUGAGCAAGGUUUUUGGAGAAAAAAAGAAGUCUCAUGAACAAAAAGUGACAGCAAAAAGAAAGGGGUUUUUUGGUUAUUUUUUGUUUUGCUUUUUAGGGCCACAUCGUGGCAUAUGGAAGUUCCCAGGCUAGGAGUUGAACUGGAGCUGCAGCUGCUGGCCUACACCACAGCAACGCAGGAUCCGAGCCAUGUCUGCGACCUACACCACAGCUCACGGCAAUGCCGGAUCCUUAACCCCGCUUGAGCGAGGCCAAGGAUAGACUCCGUGUCCUCAAAGAUACUAGUCGGAUUCAUCUCCAUUAAGCCAUGAUGGGAACUCCAAAAAGACAGGUUUUAGAUCACAGGAAGAUUCAGAUGACAAAGAUAAUGAAGUUUCCAAAAAGCAGAGCAAAGCUCUAAAUUGACAGAAGACAGGAAACGAAAAGGAUGACACCAGGAGGUCCCAAGGCCCCGCAGGUUGACAUUCCAGGAGGGGAAGGAGGGACCAAGGGAGAGCUCAGGGCUGCACAUCCUGGGCAAGCCCGGCAGGUGCUGUGCUGGGACCACAGGGCACAGCAGUCAGGGCAGCCUCACUCUUGGGAACAGGCGUGCAGUAGUCUUGAAAGAGACCAGUUAUCGAUCACAGGGGAAGAAAUACAACCACAAGGAAGCGCUCAGGGCCCAGGGGCCACGCUGGAGCUGAGCCAGGGUGUGGGGUGGCCACCAGCACCAGGGCAGAAGGGCCUGGGCUCCUGGGGGAGAAAUCAAGUUGGGGCGGGGGGGGGCAGCUGGAGCCGCAGCACCAGCACCCAGAAGGGGUGAAGCCCGAUGGUUCUGCACCAUCCACCUGUCAAUUAAACACGAAGACAGAGACAUCUGAGGCCGAGGUCUCCCAAGGCCUCAGGGUGAAAUAACUAAGAUGCAGUGAGGGGACAGGAGAGCUCUGCUGACCAGCCUGGGGGGCUGGGGCCAGAGGCAUCAUGAGACUGGAGAGGCUUGGGGGGGGGGGAGCUCAGGGAGGUCAUGGUGCUGCUGAGCACCUUGGGGGAGGCGCAGGCUGGCCACAAAGCCUUGGGAUCUAACAGGGAACAGAGCACGGAAGGCGGCAUAAUUAACUGCGAGAAAAACAAAAGGUAACAUAAGUACAACACAGCUCACCGUGAAUAACAUCUAGUUACACACUCGAGCUAAUGCUGAUCUCCUCAAGAUGACAUCACGCCUGCGGUAGGGUGAGCACAGGUGGGUGGAAAGGAAGGAGGGGAAACAUUCAUCUUUUAGGGAAGAAGGUCCCCAGGUGGCACCUACAGACGAAAAGCUCAGGCUUGCAGCACAAAGACAAACCAAAUUCAUCAGCUCAAAGCUGAGAAGCGCUUGCCUUGGGGCAGGGGAAAGGAACUCCCUCCUCCCUUUGCCUGGAUGGAAGAGCCAGGUGUCAGCAAGGAGGCUGGGUGCCCUCAGGCAAAGAAACCGAGGAAGAUGCAGGAAGGGGCUUCGUGUCCUUGGGGAGCAAGGGCAGUUUUCUCAAACAAGGAGGCAAGAUCAUUAACAAGUGGCAUGGAGACCAGGGGACACUUCCACCCGUCGGGGACACUCAAGAGCCACUGUGUGGCCUUUACUGCUAAGCGUCUCACCCACCAGCCCUGUGCAUUCCUAACACUGCCUCCCCUCUGGUCUUAAACCCUCAGGCGAAUGAAUCCACCCCCCCCACCCCCCGUCGGACACCGCCUCCCCAGGCCCCGUCUGCAGAGGCAGCUUCAGCACAACUCCAGCCGCCGCCCCCUUCUCGGCCUCCAGAGAACAGCUGCCUGCUCCUGGUACCACAGGACCUCUGCACGAGCCACUUCUUCUGAGCACAUUUCCUCCUCUGUCCCCAUUAACUCCUACACGGGCCGCACUUCUCAGCUCCAGCCUCACUUCCUCCGGGAAACAAAUGCCUGGCUUGGCCCUGCCACAAGCCCUCAGACACCCCUUAACUUCCUGCCCUCCUGUUUGAAAUAUAACGCUCAUUUGCAUGAUUAUCUCAUUCAGGGCCAAAUCAUCUCCUAAGUCAGCAGUCGUACAGUGGGGUCUCCAGACACCCCACCACCACCACGGUAUCUCAGGUGAAGCCAGUAAAAAUGCAAAUGGCCUGGCCACACCCAGACCUGGUGCAUCAGACACUCAAGGUGGGAGGCACCAACCUGGGUUUCAAGAACCCUCCAGGUGAGUAUGACGCACACAGCUGGAGAACCACUGCCCAGAUGUCCUGCACUCCUCGUGACCCCCCCCCCAGGACUAAACACAGGAGGAACAACAGUAAGGGUUUGAUGGACACCAAUAAAAACUGGGCAGGAGUUCCUGGUCCACGGGAUGUUAAAAAACUUUCCAUGGCUCUCCAGAACCCUACCUUUAGAAGCCCCCCAAAUCAGCAGGGAGCCUGUCCAUUGACAGAUGAAUGGAUUAAGAAGAUGUGGAAUAUAUAUACACAAUGGAAUACUACUCAGCCAUAAAAAAGGACAAAAUAAUGCCAUUUGCAGCAACAAGAUGGAACUAGAGACUCUCACACUAAAUGAAGUCAGUCAGAAAGAAAAAGACAAAUACCAUAUGAUACCACUUAUAUCUGGAAUCUAAUAUAUGGCACAAAGGAAUCUUUCCACAGAAAAGAAAAUCAUGGACUGUUGGAGAACAGACUUGGAGUUGCCAAGGGGGAGGGGUGGGGACUGGUAAUUUAGGAUUAAUAGAUGCAAACUAUUUAUUGCCUUUGGAAUGGAUAAGCAAUGAGAUCCUGCUGUAUAGCAAGGAACUCUAUCUAGCCACUUGUGAUGGACUAUGAUGGAGAAUAAUGUGAGAAAAAGAAUGUAUAUAUGUACAUGUGGCUGGGUCACCUUGCUGUACAGUAGAAAAUGGACAGAACACUGUAAACCAGCUAUAAUGGAAAAAAUAAAAACCAUUAAAAAAAAACCCACUGAGCCUGCCACACACCUGGGGGGCGAGCCCCAGCUUCCUGGCCUUCC
ensembl:lncRNA